UAGAUUUUCUUUUCCUCUCUUCUUCUUCCCUCUUCCAUGUCCGAAACCCUAGCUCCCAAAACCUUGAUUUCCUCCACUUUUCUCAACAAAUCAACCAUGGAUCUUGCAUCAAGGAUGGAGAAUAAGAGGAGAUCACCACUUUCUACCGAAUGGAAUUUCGAAAUUUUUGAGGGCAUAACCUGAGAAGGACAAGCACUCCGUUAUAGCACUGUCCUGCGUUUGGAGGUUAGCCUCAACUUUUCAUGCUCGUCUUCCUUGUUAGCCUCUGUGUGCCCAAGCAUUUGGGUGAAGCCUACCCGUUUGGUGAAGUUUUGGCUUAGAUUCUGAUUGUCUAUAAUAUGUUGUAACUUCUAA